GACAAAGAUAUAGGGAAAGGGGGAAAAGCAAAAGCCAACAAUUAAUCAUUAGUGGGCUUGUUGGAUUACAGAAUGCCAAUUUUUUUUGGUGACCAUAAAGUUAGGAUGUGUUCUUUCAGUGUACUUUCUAUCAUAGUGUUGAUUUUUUUUGUUAUGAAGGGCUUAUGGGUAAUGCGCUGACCAAGCCUGUUCAUGAUAGAUUGAGGGCAUCUGAUUUGAGUUUUGUAUGACAU
rnacentral:lncRNA from 1 species